rnacentral:rRNA from 1 species
GAUGAACGCUAGCUACAGGCUUAACACAUGCAAGUCGAGGGGCAGCAUGAAAGUAGCUUGCUACUUUGAUGGCGACCGGCGCACGGGUGCGUAACGCGUAUCCAACUUUCCCGUUACUCUCGGAUAGCCUUCCGAAAGGGAGAUUAAUACGAGAUGGUGUUCAGUUUCCGCAUGUUUACUGAACUAAAGAUUCAUCGGUAACGGAUAGGGAUGCGUGACAUUAGAUAGUUGGCGGGGUAACGGCCCACCAAGUCGACGAUCAGUAGCCGGACUGAGAGGUUGAUCGGCCACAUUGGGACUGAGACACGGCCCAGACUCCUACGGGAGGCAGCAGUGGGGGAUAUUGCACAAUGGGCGAAAGCCUGAUGCAGCGACGCCGCGUGAGGGAAGACGGUUUUCGGAUUGUAAACCUCUGUCUUCGGGGACGAAAAUGACGGUACCCGAGGAGGAAGCCACGGCUAACUACGUG